CAGCAUGCGUGGAUCGUGUGGCAGGGCAGGCACCGUCAGGGUGUGACCUUCGAAGCCAUGACGAUCUUCCUAAUGCUGCAGCAACGCAGACACCUCCUCCUCUCCUAGCUAUGACAACAUCUAUUUGGUUGUCUCAUCUACAAGGCAAAGCAAGGAAGGAGAACAAAGAUGAAUCAAGCUGCUUUGACAACAUCUAUUUGGUUGUUUCCUGUACAAGGAAAAGCAAGGAAGGAUAACAAACAUGAAUCAGAUGCAAUAAAAAACAGGAGAGCACGAUGAAAAACAUGCCACAGAGAUAUGAAGAAAUCUUGAUGACAUCGGCAGCCGAUGACUGAGACACCAUGUUUGUGCGGUGAACGAAUUUCCUGAUUUUGGAGCAAUGAAGCCUCAAAAUAUUUUUUUGGCAAUCCUGUUUGUUAUUCGGAAACUGCAAUUAAUGCAUAGUCCUACAUCCUUGUUGCAGCUAUCUCUAGAGUAUUUCAACAAACAUAUUGUGGGUGUGAGCAUAGGGCAAACUUGCAAGUCUUGACUCUUGUGUUCUGUAUCUAGUGCUUGUGGAUGACCAAGACAAGCACCAUAGUAACAAGUGCCUUGACGUUGCAGUCCAGGAAAGUAGUGUAUCACAUAUAUUUGUAUUUAUAGUACAGGAAAUCAAUCAGCCGCUGUUCAAGAGCACUAAAUGUAAGAAGAUCAGUUCCACCAGCGGCGAGACGGUCUGAGCCCUCGGCUCAUGCUGGAGUGUCAAUGACUGAGCUUCCUCCAAGAUAGUUCAGAAAAUUUAUGAAAAACAACACAAUGUCUUUGUCUUAGUAACAGAUUUACUAAUAUCCAAUUUAUUUCACAUGAUAGAUCAUUUGAAGGUAAAUCUACUAAAACUUCCUAGGUAUACAUAAGUCCCGUUCAAAUUAGGAACAAUAACAGCGAAGAACACCAAGCUUUGAAUGAUAUAUUUUUCGCAAUUGUCACUGGGGCUGAUAAUCCUACUACAAAGAUGCACAACCCUUUGAAUAUAAAAAACAACCACUAAUACCACAAAAGAGGAUGAGAGCCAGAUCAUCCAAAGAAAAAUCAAAGAAGGGUAAGAAAUAAUAAAGUGGGCAGAUAAAAUACAAGGAACAAACUCUCAACAACCAGCCAAAAUACCCCAACG
rnacentral:rRNA from 1 species